CCUAUUUGUAUGGUUCCUAUUCAACUGUCUACAGCAUUCAUAUGCUUGAGAGGAUUCAUAUGCUUCUCCGGUUCGGUGGUUGUGGUGUCUGCUGCAGUGCUUGGAGUCCUCAGGAAGCGCUAGGAGCAUCCUUUAACGGAGGUACCCAGUGGGGGUGCCAGGUGAUCCGUUACAUUGGUGGCAAGCGGUGGGAUGGCGUCCUAGUGCGAGGUAAAGCAGCUCGGAGACACAGUUCGUGGAUUUACAAAUUGAGGGCAACGCUAGUAUCCGU